UACUCGACAUUAAAAAAUAUUUCUAUAACCGUCCAACUGUCAUAAUAACCCCGUGAGCGUGGUCUCUUACGAUAAAUAUAAUUAUUUUAAAUAUUCCAGCAAACGAAUAAUAUAAAUUACCGAAAUAAUUAUUCUAGAAAAAGAUUAGAAGUGGUAUAAAAAGAGCGGCUGUUUUCUUUCACAAUAUAUUCGACUACAUCAAGUCAACUAAACAACAAGUCAACAAUGAACUUCUCCAAGAUUUUCGUCUUUGCCGUUAGCGCAAUGUGUCUCAUCUUUGGGGCCCAGCAAGUUCAAGCUCAGGAAGGCGCCACUCGUACAUCUCGCCAGCCAGGACAAAAUUAGCAAACAAAAAUUCAAAGGUUUGCCACUAUUUAUGUAAACCACAUGCAUAAAUAAAUCUAAAUGACACAAUAAUAAGACAA